rnacentral:rRNA from 1 species
GACGAACGCUGGCGGCGUGCUUAACACAUGCAAGUCGAAGAUAGUGGCGAACGGGUGAGUAAUACGUGGGUAACCUGCCCUCCUUUUUGGGAUAAGCCUUGGAAACGGGGUCUAAUACCGAAUAAAGGGGGAUUGGCUCGCGGCCUAUCAGCUUGUUGGUUGGGUGAUGGCCUACCAAGGCGGUGACGGGUAGCCGGCCUGAGAGGGUGAACGGCCACAUUGGGACUGAGAUACGGCACAGAGUGCUACGAGAGGCAGCAGUGGGGGGUAUUGCACAAUGGGCGAAAGCCUGGGGCAGCGAAGGCGCGUGGGGGAUGAAGGCUUUCGGAUUGUAGACCUCUGUCGCUAUCGAGCGGGUAGGUGGAGGAGAAACGCCGGCUAAAUACGUGCCAGCAGACGCGGUAAUAC